rnacentral:rRNA from 1 species
GAUGAACGCUGGCGGCGUGCCUAAUACAUGCAAGUCGAGCGAAUGGAUUAAGAGCUUGCUCUUAUGAAGUUAGCGGCGGACGGGUGAGUAACACGUGGGUAACCUGCCCAUAAGACUGGGAUAACUCCGGGAAACCGGGGCUAAUACCGGAUAACAUUUUGAACCGCAUGGUUCGAAGUUGAAAGGCGGCUUCGGCUGUCACUUAUGGAUGGACCCGCGUCGCAUUAGCUAGUUGGUGAGGUAACGGCUCACCAAGGCAACGAUGCGUAGCCGACCUGAGAGGGGGAUCGGCCACACUGGGACUGAGACACGGCCCAGACACCUACGGGAGGCAGCAGUAGGGAAUCUUCCGCAAUGGACGAAAGUCGGACGGAGCAACGCCGCGUGAGUGAUGAAGGCUUUCGGGUCGUAAAACUCUGUUGUUAGGGAAGAACAAGUGCUAGUUGAAUAAGCUGGCACCUUGACGGUACCUAACCAGAAAGCCACGGCUAACUACGUGCCAGCCGCCGCGGUAA